rnacentral:rRNA from 1 species
AUGGCGUGGCGGUCCAUGCUCUGCCACCCGGACUUCAUCGCCGCUCAUGACCACCGUCACUCGUGCCAACGCCGCGCCGUCGGCGUGUACCACCAUGCCCAGCCCUGGCCUAAAAUACUCGUCCGGGACAUGGACACCGGCCGCGUCAUCAAAUCUCUUAGCGCCAAAAGCACCACACAGCACCCCCGCUCCUUGAGUCCUGACCGAGCGGUCUGCGUUCAGGGAUUGGGCAUGCGGCUCCACCUCCUCGACCACGUCACGGGUGCCGUCUCCCUCUUGCCAAGACCUGCGUCGCCACGGGACUGUGCGGUCGUCUCGUACUCGCUCGGCCGCGUGACCUCCACUGGAGAGUACAAGGUGCUGGCCGUGGUCACCCUCGCGCAACAUCAGGGGCAGGUCUGCAAGAUCCUCACCCUCACUGGCGGCCAGGAGCCUUGGAGGGAGACAGGGAGGCCACUGUUCCGGGUGGUAUCACCGCCGACGAAGUCGUACACCAACUGCAGGGAGACGGCCGUAGUCGAGGGGGUAGCCUACUUCCUAGUUGUCGACGGCCACCGGAUGGACGAGUACGACGCCGACUGGAUCAUGGCGUACGACCUGGACACCGAGGGGUGGCGGCCGGCAGCCAUCCAAGGCCCCGCUGGCACCAGCGACGUCGGUCUUGCCGGGUUGGACGGACGUCUGGUCGUGUGCCACGACGAUCGCCUCAACCGCGUGCAACUGUGGUGCCUCAUGGAACCCGAUCAGGCUCUCUGCAUUGUCGUCAUCACGCUUUUGUGA